GGAGGAGGGUCCGGAGCAAUGAACGAGGACUUUGGGCCAGUGAUGGCCACGAGCUCCCUCAGCGUCGGCGCGAGGGCUCCGCGCGCGCUAACCGUCCACGUUCGCCGCCCGCGCGAGGCCCCGCCCCCGCCGGGCCCGGCCCAGCGCGAGGGACCGCGGGGCUGCGCGGAGACCAUGGCGGCGCUGAGGGACUGCGAGGCCUGGCGGGAUGCUGGACUUGUCCUGUCCACGACGAGCAAUGAAGCCUGUAAGCUCUUCGAUGCUGCACUGACACAGUAUGCAACCUGGACCAAUAAUGAGAGCCUUGGAGGUAUUGAGGGAUGCCUCUCCAAGUUAAAAGCAGCGGAUCCAAAUUUUACAAUGGGCCAUGUCAUCGCUAAUGGUUUGGAGCUGGUUGGCACUGGAAGCUCCGUGCGACUCGACAAAGAGCUGGACCGUGCCAUGAGAACGAUGGUGGCACUUUCCGAGUCCCAGCCACUGACUGAGCGGGAGAAGCUUCACGUGUCAGCGCUGGACAUGUUUGCCAGGGGCCAGCUUCCAGAAGCUUGUGAUCUGUGGGAACAGAUUCUGCAGAGACACCCAACUGACCUGCUAGCCCUCAAAUUUUCCCACGACACUUAUUUCUACCUGGGAUAUCAGGUGCAGAUGCGAGAUUCUGUUGCCCGGGUUUAUCCUUUCUGGACACCUGAUGUUCCACUGAGCAGCUAUGUGAAAGGCUUCUACUCUUUUGGACUCGUGGAAACAAACCUUUUUGACCGUGCUGAGGAGGUUGCCCGUGAGGCUUUGGCUGUAAAUCAGACAGAUGCAUGGUCUGUCCAUACUAUAGCUCAUGUAAAUGAAAUGAAAGCAGAUGUGAAGAAAGGCUUAGAAUUUAUGAAGGAAACAGAAACCAACUGGAAGAACAGUGAUAUGCUUGCUUGCCACAAUUACUGGCACUGGGCUUUAUACUUCAUUGAAAAGGGUGAAUAUGAAGCUGCUUUGACAAUUUAUGACAAUCAUAUCGCUCCGCGGUGCCUGGCGAGUGGAAGCAUGCUGGAUGUGGUCGAUAACUGUUCCAUGCUGUACCGGCUCCAUCUGGAAGGUGUAAAGCUUGGAGACAGGUGGAAGGAUGUUCUCGCGCUCACGAAGAAGCACACCAAAGAUCACAUUCUUCUGUUCAAUGAUGUGCACUUCUUGAUGUCUUCACUUGGAGCCAAGGACCACAAAACUACCCAGGAGCUUUUAACAACUCUUCAGGAACUUGCCAAAGCACCUUGUGAAGACCACCAGCUUUCCCUGGCUCCUAGUUUGGGGUUGCCACUGUGCCAGGCUUUUGUGGAGUUUGAAAAUGGAAAUUGUGACAAAGCUGUAGACCUGCUGUACCCAAUCCGUUAUCAACUAAUCCAACUGGGAGGCAGUAAUGCCCAGAGAGAUGUUUUCAGCCAGUUAUUGAUUCAUGCUGCUUUAAAUUCUAAAUCACAGGCCAAACGAAACCUUGCAAGGUGCCUCCUGAGAGAACGUGAUGUGGUGAGACCCAAUUCACCAAUGACAGAGCGACUUAUCAGGAAGGCAGCAGCUAUCCAUUCCAUGGCAUAAGGCUUUCCUCCGUGCUUCAGUAUUCCAGAAAUCUGGGAUGAUGGGAAAGAUGGUAUUUCGAACCAAAACUGAACCAAUGCCUCUUCUUCCUGAAUAGAAAUGCCACACUCUUCAACUGCCGAAGCUCUGGCUUUACUACCACAUCUGCAAACUCUCCUGGCCACAGAUGCCUUCCUUUCCAUCCUGCCCAGCUCAGGCUCUUCCCCAUGGUCCACGGAAGCCUCUUCCUACACUGUUUCCUUUCGAUCUAAAAAAGCACUUCCAUAGCUGGCCCUGCGCUGCCCCUGGAGUUUCUGCAUAGAGGAACAAGAAGUGGAAGUGCCUUGCUGCCAUCCUGCCCCCAGCCCUCCUCUGGGGCAGAAUUCGCUUAUUUUCAAAGCAAUAAUAAUUUGUGAAACCAGCUCUUUAUUUCUGCCAUUCCUGGAGGCCAAGGUCUGUGCUCAGAUCUGUGAUGUGUGCGACAGUGCUGGAGGAUAUAGAGAUCUCCUUUCCUAGGUUUCCAAUCCAAAGUUCAUUUACCAACAGCCACGACAGCAUUACUGGACAGCCUGUUAAUGGUUUGCAGGGUCUGGUCUCAGUCCAGCUUCUAGUGAAGAAAUACACGCUUCAUAAAAGCCCUUUGCUUAACUGGUCCACUAAGUAACCAAGAUAGGUUAGUUUCUCAUCAGAGGACCUGGCCAUCCAAGGAAAAAGACUGCAUCUUAUCUGAGAGAGCAAAGCAACCCCUGCAUGUCCAAGGAAGCAGGGCAAUGAUUCGAAGAGAGGCAAGUACUUCCCAUCUAUCUUAAGGACUGUAUAUACAUGUUCGAUCUGUGGAGAAGCCAUGGAUAACUCCAAAAGGCAGUUCCCUUCCCUCCAGCCUGUCAGCAUUUUAUCACAUCUGUUAUGAACAUCUGUAGCUUUGCUGCCUUACCUGACACUGUAAAAUUCAAGCACAAGGAUUCACUUAAUUAAUCCUGCUGAGUAAAGGGGAGUGGGGGGAUAGGCUCCACAUACUCCUGUAGAAGUGACUCAAAGCACAGGAUAUGAACUCACCUGCUCUCCAUAUUCAGUCCAUUGGCCUUUGUUAUUCUUCCAGUACCAAACCCACUGUGUGGUCAGUACGAAUGUGGGUUUUGUGACGGAUGACGGUGUAGAGAGGCGUCGAACCGGGGAAGAAGAGCAGGUCAUUGUCUGGAAGUUAAUGUUCCUGCCUGCUAUGCUGUAAGGACAAAUUCAGGGUUUUUACAGUUAACAGUAGAUCUUUUAUCCUCUAAUCCUCUGUUUAGGCUUGUGCAAUUUUCUUUAAUAUAAUAUGACUGAACCUAAUUAGGCCUGAAUCAGAGUAUUUUCCACAACACAUGACAGCUCUGAAAAGCAUAUCCAAGCUUCAUAAGCAAACUAUGGCCUGUGAGACAUGGAAUGCCAUCUCAGUCACUGGCCAUAUGUGGCACUGCCAGCUUUACAGACAGCACAGGACUACAAGUACAGCAUGGCAAAAGAUACUCUGCAAUAAGGAAAGUUUCCAGUUUGUCUCAGUGCAAAACCAGAAUUUUGUAGGUACACGCAGCUUAUCAACUUGGUUCUUUUCCUGUGGUUACAAAGGAUGCAGUCACAGCCAUCACAGCUGUGAGGUCUGCAAACUGUAUUCGUCACUGGAGCUCUGGGCUCUUACUCCUGCGAGGCUUGAAAAGUUAACUUCCAGGCAGGAAGGCUUUGAAAGCAGCCUCCUCUUGUGAAUCUUGCUUGUGAUCUGCACCAUCCAGCAAGAUGCAAAGUCAUCUGUUGCCUUAAGAGGCAUGGGCCAAAAUUACUAUACAUUUUUCGAAGCCAGACCUGGGGUCCCCUAUGAAUCCAGGUGGCACAGUGGGGCUUUUCAGAAAGGACUUAAAAUAGAAAGAAAAACAGGAAAAAAAAGAGAUAUGCUGCUUACACAAGGGCCAUCUCAUAAAAUGUCUCUAGGCAUACAACAGAUAUUGCUAUUAUUAUUAUUAUUGUUGUUGUUAUUUUUAUGACGCAUACUAGCUGGAGUAGGAAAAGAACAGCCAUAGAGAAGGACCAGCUCUGAUAUGUUGUUACAAGGUCCAACUUCAUUACUGUAAAUAAAUUAUGAUUCAUUAUCUGAAA